UACAGAGGUCUCAAGCGUUGUUCGGAUUCAUUGGGCGUAAAGGGUGCGUAGGUGGCGCGAUAAGUCGGGUGUGAAAUCUCGGAGCUUAACUCCGAAAUUGCAUUCGAUACUGCCGUGCUCGAGGACUGGAGAGGAGACUGGAAUUCAUGGUGUAGCAGUGAAAUGCGUAGAGAUCAUGAGGAAGACCAGUGGCGAAGGCGGGUCUCUGGACAGUUCCUGACGCUGAGGCACGAAGGCCAGGGGAGCAAACGGG
rnacentral:rRNA from 1 species